UAAAUUAAGUGACUACAAUGGCCAUCACUACAGAGAUAUAUUUAUGAAACCUAAAAGUUAUUAUCAGAGUUUAAAGAUCAUUUUAUUUUCUAUUAUGUAGAACUUUUUGUUUUCAUGAAAACUGAAAAAAUUUCAAAUUUAGUGUUUGGCGUUAAGUUUUUCUUUUGAAAAAUGGGUUAUAAUAAAAUAAUUUACCAGAGUCAGGUGAUAUUCUAUUAGUCUACAUAAUGUCGCCUUUCAGGAAGGGUAUAUUACUAAUUAAUUGUCGAGAAUAAAAACUGGUUGUAUUACAAUAUUACCUGUGUAUGUAAUUUAGCAAUGAUCAAUGUUAACUCAUGCUCACAAAUAAGCCCACCCCAACAGAUGAGGGUCAUAUUCUGUAACAUCCCUUUCAACAGGUCAAUUAAGAGGAUUAACACAGAAUCCUUGUUCUCCCUACUUCACAGGUGAUCUAUUGUUACUAGGGAGGAGAUAGCUCACAGGGUAGGGAAAGACAGCCAACACUAGGUACAACAUCAUAAUGAUGAAUUGUUAGCAUGACAUCAUGUAUUGUUUCUCUGACGUCAUACAAUUGUUAUGAAUGGGUAAUUCCCUGUUUCAACCUCACGUUUUUUGACGAAUGACUUUCGAUAAUUUUUUGUUCUGUCUAGAAUUUUGUUUAUUUGUAAGUAUGUGAGAAAAAUAACCAAACAUGUGUCUGUUCCUCAGACAGGGAUAUGUCACCCUUGUAUAAGACUUUGACUGGUCACUAGGAGGCUUGCCGAGAGCUGGCCAGCCAAACUCAUACACUCGGACUGAGAUUCCCUGUUCACACUGACAAACCUAUGAUUCUAUGGGUCCAUUUGAUUCCUUUACUAAUAUUCCAGGAAGUCACUGUGAGGACAUAUCCUAGUGUUGAUACAGACAUGAUGUGACUGGAUGAAGAAUUGUAAAAAGCUUUGAUCAGGCAAUUAUGUUCAAAUUAAGUAUUACGUUUUCAGAGUUUUGUUGGGGUGGGAAUACGGGCUUUAUUAGUGUGUUAUUGUUUAAAUCAUAAUGAAUCAGCAUUACCUUGUUGUUGUAUGUUGUUACUUAUAUCAAACUUCGUCAGUGAAAAGAAAUACUUUAAAGAUCAUGAAAAUUACAGCAGUUUCUUACGUUGUUAGAUGCUCUCAUAAAAGUUUGGUGACGGGAAAGAAAUGUUUGUUUAUACAUGUUUUUGUGUUUGUACAAUUUUCUAAUUUUAUCUAACAAUAGGUAUGUAAAUAAAACAAGUAGGUAGAAAGUUAAAUCAUCAGUCGAAAAAUAUCAUCUCUGUCAGACAUUUUUAAUUUGUUUGAAAACAAAAUCAAAUACAUAUAUAAGUUAUAAUACUAGUCAGAGUUUUAUCAAACCUCGCUUUUAUUUUAACCUUCUAUUAAUGUUCAACGGAGAUUGCAAUGAAACAUAUUUUGUAUUUCCAUCAAUCCUGAUACAUUCACAUCCAUACAUACAUCAUUUAUGUAAAACAUGAAGCUAAUCUUUUUCAUUACUUUACAAGAUCAGAUUGUUUUAUUUUAAAUUCAAGAAUAAAUCUGUUUUAAGUUUUGAUAAUCACGUAACUGGAACUGAAAUUUAACCUGUUGGGAAUCUUGAGAGAAUUUGUAUCACUUUAUCAUCAUUUCACUGUUCUGAAAUGCAUAUUGAGGGCCAUAAUGAUCAGUAAUUAGAUUGAAAGUAGCCUGCAUGAAUGAUUGUCUGAAAAUUUGACUUUUAUAUUGACCUUCAAACUCAUCAGAUGGCCAGAGUCAAUUAAUUUUUUGACAAUUAUGUAUUUUGUUUUUAAUGAAUUCUCUUUUUAAAAAAUUUCAACACACAUUUUACAUACUGUAUAAGAGAUUUUAAUGCUAAAUUGUCAGGUCACAAGUUUAUCUUGAAGGUCAAUUUUAAAGGUCAAAUUUCGGAAUGUGAGGGAAAUAUCAAUGGGAAAUAUCAAUGUUAAAUGAAAGAAAUAGUGUGAUUGCUAGUCUCAGUAAUAUUGUAUGUCUCUAAAUUGUCUGGAGAGGAAUUGUCAAGCUAUAAAAUAUAAGCCAUAAACAGACUUUGUAACUACAGAUGAGUCCACUUUAUUGCAUAUCGGUUAUUUGCAUAACUUGCUUAUUUGCAUAAAAUUCUCGGUCCUGAUUUUGUAUUAAUGAUAGAAUAAAUCAAGGAUGAAAUUUUAAUCCUGUAACUACCACCCUGAGCUCAGACCCUUUAUCUCUAUACACCCAUCAAUAGCAUUUUGGUAUGCUCCACACUUAUACAUAUAUAUUCUUGAGCAAGACAAUACCCUAGCUGUUGUACCUCAUAUAGUGUAGCAGUGUUGCCUUCAAAACCACUCCAUUUUAUAAAACAGAUUGAUUAUGGAGAAGGGGAAGCCGAGCUGCUUUUAGAGACUAAUAGCUGUCACUCUUUAGGUAUCUCAUAAUUAGGAAAUUCUCUGGUGUUUUCACAUAAAUUCCACAGGAAGACCAAAUGAUUUAUGCAAAUUUCUACAAGGGUACAUUUUUAUGUCUGAUUAAUUCAGUGAUUAUGAUUCAAUUAAUGCUCAUUUGUUAGUUGACAAUGGAUGAGGUCAAAAUGUGUGACAUGUAGUUCGCUUUUUUGAAGGACACUGUUAAAUUUUUUUAUAAACUUGACAAAUAUGUGAAAGAUCUUGAAAAACAUUUUUUUUGUUAUUGUAAUGUGAACACAUCGUAAAUACAUGUAUAUUGUAUGUAUGUUUUUUAAUUGUUUUUGAUUUAAGGAGAUAAAGACACAUUUGAGAUUAAUUAGACAUAUUUAGUAAUCUUUUCAACAAUAGGCUAGAUUCAGUACCUUAUAUUAAUAACUGUAGAAUUCUUUGGAAGCAAAACUCAUACAAAUUAAAUCUGAAUACACUGGGGAUGGAUACGGAUGGUAUAAAAAAUCAAAGUUACAAUUUACAUUUAUUAGAAUUAGGACAUCAAACACCUCUCCCCUCUCCACACAUAGAUAAAAAAGUAAACAUUGCAAUUUUGAUCAAAGAAGUUCAAAUGUAUUUUUCAUUUGUUUAACUUUCUAGGUCAAUAUGUAUGAUAAUAGUAUUAAUGGCACAUUGUCAUCACAAAUUGUAAAAAAAAAAAAAAUCAAAAAAAAAUUCAAGAAUGACAAUGUGAAACUGUUAAAUUCCAAAUAUUGACGAACUUCUUUUUUCGCUGUAGUAUGGUUUAUGUUGAGAAUUACUUCCCCCUGACUGAGGAUUACUUCCCCUGACAAGAAGGAAUUUACUAUGCUAUUGUAUCGCUGUAGUUAUUAACACGUAUAUAUUAUAUACAAUUCUAUAUAUUAGUACAUGAUUUACUGAUGAGAAGUCCUUACUUGUAGCUCACCAUCCUACUUAGAUCUGAUGUUAACUCACUGAUGUUAACUCACUGGGUUGACUUGUGGGAAUAGGAUGGUGUAGUCUUUAGAUACAGGCUUACUUGGAUCAGUAAAUAUCAUAAUUAGUGAUUAACCUAGGUAGUUAGUAUAUAAUCUUUUCUUACAUGGAUUAACCAUCAGCAGAUGACAACAUAGAAGCUAAAUGAUAUAAAGAUAUCUGGAUCAGUGGCAUUACUUAAUAUGUGAUCUAAUUAUACAUUCGUAAUUGUGAACCAUGUUUCCCUACAGAUUGUCUUUAUAAAAUGAGUUAAAAUCAGUAAUUAUGAAAGAAAACAUAACCAAUUAUUUUAUUAAAUGUGUACUUUUGAUAGAAAAAAUGGUAGUUUUCCUAAUGUACUGCUAGAUAAAUUUAAUAUCAAUAUUGCAAAGAAACAAGUAUGGUAGGAUACUUCAGUUCCACAAUUUUCAAAUUUAAAUCUUAGAAUGUAACAAGAUAUUCAUUCUUUGAAAAAAAAAGGUGUAAUAAAUAUUUGUUGUGUUUUGUCUAUCAUUCACAUAUCAGUUCCAAGGUGUGUGGACAAAUACUUCACAUUACCAACAAGACGAGCAUCUUCGUACAUGUAUCUACAGCACAAUAAUUUAUGUUUGUAAUUACAAUUAUGAUUUUGACGUUUUCAUCAUAUUUCAGAGUUCAUACCAUCAACAUAGCUCAUAACAUGUCCUGAUUAUGAUGUUUUUGGUGAUUCGUGUUUGAUAUCUGUAAAUAUCUUUAUAACUUUGUACUCUUUCUUUACCUGGGUAGUUAUUUAUCUAUUUAUUUUCUCUAUGUAUAGUGCUAUUUGUUCCCCUUUCAUCACUUACACUCAGAUCUUUUGGAAUAUUGGACAAAUUUUCAUUUUUGGCAGGUUUAUUUUUCACAGUUCUAAAACCUACAUAUUGUGUAGGCUAAUUACUUUUCUAUUGUCAUUUACUCAACAUAUACUUGAUCUGGGUUCAAAGUGGACAUUUUUACCAGGUGGCCUAUUUGGCUACCAAGUCAUAAAAUCUAGGUGCCAAUUGGAAAAGUUAGUCGCCAGCCAAGUUGUUAAGUACAGUAUAAAACCUCUCUGUGUUUUAUUUCCGUUUGCUUUAAACAAAUCAUUGUUUGUUUUCCAUUACUAAUGUUUUUAACACUAGUUUGCUUCAUUAGAAUUAGUAUUGAACUUAAUAUUUUUAGUUCUGAAGCCUGGUAGAUGAACCACAACAAACAAAAGUUCUCUAGCCUGGUAGAUGAACCACAACACAUACAAACUUAGCAGGUUGUUUGGUAUUUUGAGUAUCUCUCCACCUGGAGAUUUUUCUUUCUUCUGGUUUAAUAUAUUUGAUAAAAUAAAUUUUAUAAUCUGUAAAAAGUGACAUAAAAAGCUUUCAAUACAAAAACGACAUAGUAUUGAAUAGUUUGAAGGCUGUCUCGACUUUUAGUGACCCACUUUUUGAAUGGUUAGCCUCUGGUAUGUUGAUGUCUCUGUUUCACCAUAACUAUGUGUUCUGUUUCAUCAUCAUACUUACAGUAGAAUGUGAUGUGUCAUGUAUGUGAUAAUUGUACUCCAUCAUGUAAUUUUGGUCACCUAUGUGAUAAAUUGUACUGUAUUGAGCAAACAUAAAAUAAAUCGAAGAACACUUUAAAA